rnacentral:rRNA from 1 species
AUUGAACGCUGGCGGCAGGCCUAACACAUGCAAGUCGAGCGAGCGGCGGACGGGUGAGUAAUGUCUGGGAAACUGACUGAUGGAGGGGGAUAAAUACUGGAAACGGUAGCUAAUACCGCAUAAGAUCAGAUGUGACCCGAUGGGAUUAGCUAGUAGGUGGGGUAACGGCUCACCUAGGCGACGAACCCUAGCUGGUCUGAGAGGAUGACCAGCCACACGGGAACUGGGACACGGUCCAGACUCCUACGGGAGGCAGCAGUGGGGAAUAUUGCACAAUGGGCGCAAGCCUGAUGCAGCCAUGCCGCGUGUGUGAAGAAGGCCUUCGGGUUGUAAAGCACUUUCAGCGGGGAGGCGUUACCCGCAGAAGAAGCACCGGCUAACUCCGUGCCAGCAGCCGCGGUAAUAC